UGGUGUAAGGCCAUGAAUAAAGAAAAUGCGGCGUUAAGGAAAAAAUAAUAUUUAUGAGUUUGUUGAAUCACCUAUAGAGAAAAAAGUUAUUGGAUUUAAGUAGGUAUAUAAGACGAAAAGGAUAUUGAGAUAUUCGAAAGGAACAAGCGACCACCGAUUGUGGUAUACUAACCCUAACGAUUUUUAUUUAUUUUAAUAGUGAUUGGAUAGAUUAAGUUGACGAUCGAAAACGUAUGAGAAGGUUUGGAGUUAAUACAUUGUGCAACCGAGGAGCAGAUGGCUGAUAUUUUCACAAAGCCGCUACUAAUUGAGAAAUUCAUAUUUUGCCGAGAUUAGAUCGGUGUGAAGAACAUUAGCAUUAUGGGGGAGUGUUAGAGAUAAUGCUAAUGAUUUAUUAGAUUAGGAUUAUAUUAUUUGAUCUUAUCCAUUAAAUUAUUUGGUUAUUUAAAUUGUGAUUAAAAUAAAAUCGAAUCAGAAUAGGAUUUUAUGUAAUUAGUUAUAAAUAGAUAAGCUGGUAUUAAUUAAGCUGAAG
rnacentral:lncRNA from 1 species